rnacentral:lncRNA from 1 species
AAUCAUACACGCAAAUGCACACAAUUAAGAUCAGAGACUCACGAGAAGAUAUCACAACACAACUCUAGACACAAAAUCAAACGUAAAGCUUUAUAUUACAAGCAAGGCCACAAAGGCUCGAAUACAUAAGUCAGCGGAAGCAACAAUAUCUGAAUACAGACAUAAGAUAAACAAGUCUGCCUUAAGAAGGCCAACAUAACAACGAUAACUGGAUCGAAAAGGCACAGGCCUCCCGCCUGGGAGCCUCCUAACUACUCCUGGUCGUCGGCGGUCACCACAUAGUAGUAGGCUCCGUCGGGGUAGUAGUAGUCAUCGACGGGAUCAGCUGGCUCCUGGGCUACGUCAUCUAAUCGCGACAAUCGGGUAAAAGGGAAAAGAGGUAGCAAAGCAACGGUGAGUACUCAUCCAAAGUACUCACAAGACUUACAUCAGAUCUAUACAAAGUAUGCAUCAAUAUCAAAGGAAUGGGGCUAUAUCUUUGGACUAGACUGCAAAAAUGCCAGAAUAGAAGGGAAGGUCUUGCCUAUCAAAGACUAGCAUCUUGCAAUGUCUUGCGGCAUUAGAAGGGUGUAGAUUAGCAUAUCAUAAAGUAACAAGUAUAUUUAGUAACGCCCAGAGAUCCUUCCUCGAUUCCCUAUGAGAAAGCGAUCCUGGAGCCAUCAUAUCCAUUUAGUGUCUCUAGUAUCUAGUUCUAGUUGUAAUAGAUCAGGAUAUAACUCUGAGCGUUUGUUACCGUGGAGACGUCUAUUCGAAUAGAUUAACUUCCCUGCGGGGGUGUACCAACUUACCCAACCUGCUCGAUUAACUUUAGCCGGACACACUUUUCGGGUCAUGCCCGGCCUUGGAUAAUCGACACACCGUAGGACCUACCUAGGCUCAACAGAGAGGCCAGCAUGCCGGUCUACAUCCUAAGCGCUCAGGGGUCUUGGGCCCAUCGCCCUUUGCACUCCUGCGUGUUGCGUACGCGGCCUGGAGCAGACCCACCCCCUUAUACAAGCGCAGGUGGUUACCGUCCAACCGGCCCCCCGCCGCUCAAUCGCCAACGUCCGAAGAGCUUUCGGAGAAUCGUAUGACGCCGAGUGCCCAUACUUAUUCCUGCAUGGUGGUUAGUGCGAAAAGGCCAAGAGGCCUACUCUGAUCACAUAUCCAAAUAGUUAGUGACUUGGGAGCACGCAGAGACAAUUAGUGAUCCCAUCGCCCUGUGUCGAGGACUUACAACAAGGGUUAGGCCCAGCCCUCUCUAGCGCGGUCUGCCUGCCCGGCCGUGCCUCGUAAUUAUCUCGCAGUACCCUCCUAGUCAACCCGACUUCAGUAACUCUCGCGGGUAACCCUUGGGGCCGACCCGACUUCAACAAGGGACUGAGGUAAAGUCAAGGUAUCCGUGUGUCCAUAACAUCAAAGGGGAAAUCUGAGGAAUCACCCUCGAUGGAUUCCCACUCGAUGUAACCGUCAAGGUGAACUUGAAGGAAUCACCCUCGAUAGGUUCACACUUGAGGGGCUGCACGACAAAGGCAUCAUCAGAGGUGGUGAACGAGGCCCUCUGUAAUCCACGACAAAUUAGCUAUACUACAGAGGUAUCAUCGAAGUGAGGUAGGAGGUGUCACCCUCGACACUUGAUAGUAGCCCUGCAGAGUCAUAGAACUAGGGGGGGUGUGCGGUGAUGUGUCGGUCUCUGCACACAUCAAUCACGUUGAUCGAGUCACCGGUAAUAAAGCGGGGCAACAAGGACAAGGAUGAGGGGUCGCUGAUGGAUCACUAACCAACCUAUACUAAGCAUAUAGGUUACAUCUAAAGUAACAAUAGCAGGUUACAAAAGCAGGCUAUGCAUCAGAAUAGGAGCUAUCGAACAAGAGUAGCAAAAUCUAAUGCGAGCGUGAGAGAGAAAGAAUGGGCGAUAUAGGAAUGAUCAAGAGGGUUUUCCAUGCCUAGAAGCUCUGUGGAAAGGGACUAGUCGUCCGGUGUGUAGUCAUACUCGGGAGCAGCGUCAGUCUCGGGGUCUACCAGAGAGAAAAGGGGGAAGGAACAGUAAAUAUAAAUCAAUCAAAUGCAUCAUGAUGCAUGAUAUGGCAAUAUGCUGUGCUAAGGGUGACCUAACACAGUGGUACGAAUUACACACGGAGCGAGAAAGUAUCUGUGGAUAUUUCCCUGUUCUUAGGCAAUUAUCGGACAAAUGAAAUGGAGGGGAAGGUUCCAUCUUUGCAAUGUUAGAGGCAUGUAACAGCUAAGUGGAUGGUAUAUUCGGAUUCAUCAUAUUUUUCUAAGCAAGUUUCACAUACAAAUUAUUUUCAUCCGAGUUAUAGAUUAUUUUAUAUGAAUUUUCAAAGAUUUAAACAAUUUUUGGAAUUAUUUUUAAUUUCGAAAAUAAAUAGCAAAAUGUUGUAUGUACAGAGAAGUGUACCCAACCAGGCCACACAGGGGCUGACUGGUGGGCCCUGUUGACUGGAUCAACUCCCAGUCAGCAGAGGCUGACUAGUGGGUCAGCCUUAUCCACUAUAAUAGUGGAGGGGACCCACCUGUCAGUGACACUUGGGGGAGGGGCUAAUUAAUAUUUAAACUAAAUAGGAGGUUAAUUAGGAAGUGACCCCACUUGUCAGUGGCUAGUUAGGUUAGUUUAAUUAGUCCUUUUAACUAAAAUGCGUUUAAUUAGGGUGCGGGUCCUAGCAGUCAGUGGCAUUGGGCGUCAAUAGUGUCUGAGUUAGCCGAACACGUCAACGGCGCCGACAUUUAGCCGCCGGUGACCACAAAUACGGCGGCGAUGCAUGGGAGGCCGUGGGAUUUGGCUACAAUCCACCAAAACUGACGCGGUUGGACGCGUUCGAAUGGGGAGACGAUGCUGCAUCAAGUGGUGCUACCGGCCGGAGCUGCGGCUGCCAGAAACGACAUCGACGGUGAGCUAAGGCGGCAGCCGAAGCAUGGGCUCGAUGGGGACGAUGAUAGGUGGCACGGGAGGGCGAGCAUAAGGGGGCUACGAGCUCUUGGGAGCGCGCUGAACACGACGGCGGGCUUGGACGCGGGCGGCGGUCACGAGGACCAUGCCGACGAGCUCAACUGCGGCAAUGGGUACGGCAAUGGAGGCGACUACGACUACAUGCACGGGAACAGAGGGGAAAGGGGUCGAGGGGAAGUGCGGGCUCACGGUGAAUCUGUAGGGGAGGGUAGCGGGCUCGGGGAGGGCUUGUCGGUGCCAGAUUUGACGAUGGUGAUCGGCGGAGUAGAGGAGGAAGA